AGAGAGAGACAUGCGCGCAUAUCAAUAAGCGGAGGAAAAGAAACUAACAAGGAUUCCCCUAGUAACGGCGAGUGAAGCGGGAAGAGCUCAAAUUUGAAAUCUUAAAGGGUUUCCCUUUACGAAUUGUAGUUUAAAGAAGUGUUUUCUGUUGAGGUUUUGGUAAAAGUUCUUUGGAAUAGGACAUCAUAGAGGGUGAGAAUCCCGUAUUUGACCUUUACUUUCAACUUUGUGAUACACUUUCAAAGAGUCGGAUUGUUUGGGAAUGCAGUCCAAAAUGGGUGGUAAAUUUCAUCUAAAGCUAAAUAUUGGCGAGAGACCGAUAGCGAACAAGUACCGUGAGGGAAAGAUGAAAAGAACUUUGAAAGAGAGUUAAACAGUACGUGAAAUUGUCAAAAGGGAAGCGUUUGACACCAGUGUUGUUUUUCUGAAAAUCAAUUAAAGAACUGUUUAUGCUAAGUUGUUUAGACUUUAUCAGCUAACUGUUUAGUUUUGAGCUUUUCUUUAAUGCACUUUUCAGUUAACAAGUCAACAUCAAUUUCUUUUGCUGUAAAAAAGCUUGAGGAAGGCGGCUUGAGAUUCGUCUUAAGUGUUUAUAGCCUCUUGCCUAUGCAGUCGGAGAGAUUGAGGUCUGCAGCGUAGAUCCUUCGGGGCUAAAUGCAUUUGUGCUAAGUUAUAACAUUUUAUAGACAACUUGUUGACUAUGAAUUGUCUUGUAGCUUACUCGCUUAUGUUAUUUUACCUACGCUUAGGAUGUUGAGCGCAUGUCUCUCUCU
rnacentral:rRNA from 1 species